rnacentral:rRNA from 1 species
CCUACGGGAGGCAGCAGUGAGGAAUAUUGGUCAAUGGACGCAAGUCUGACCCAGCAACGCCGCGUGAAGGAAGAAGGCUUUCGGGUUGUAAACUUCUUUUCUCAGGGACGAAGCAAGUGACGGUACCUGAGGAAUAAGCCACGGCUAACUACGUGCCAGCAGCCGCGGUAAUACGUAGGGGGCAAGCGUUAUCCGGAUUUACUGGGGGUAAAGGGCGGGUAGGCGGGAAAGCAAGUCAGAUGUGAAAACCACGGGCUCAACCUGUGGCCAGCAUUUGAAACUGUGUUUCGUGAGUGCUGGAGAGGCAGACGGAAUUCCUAGUGUAGCGGUGAAAUGCGUAGAUAUUAGGAGGAACACCAGUGGCGAAGGCGGUCUGCUGGACAGCAACUGACGCUGAGGCGCGAAAGCGUGGGGAGCAAACAGGAUUAGAUACCCUAGUAGUC